rnacentral:lncRNA from 1 species
GCGAACCUAACUUAAUUUUUCUUUUUCUUUUUUUCAACCUUUUCUCUUUCAUUUCACCGAACAACACGUUGAAUCCAAUUUUAAUAAGCUCCUUGCCGUUUGGCACACCCUGUGUGUACAAAUCGGAAUGGGUUUGACAUAUUGCGAACUGGGUGGCUAUAAGAAGUGCAAAAAUUAGAUCUUUUUGGAGUUAGAUUUCGUGGGUGGGUUUUCGCAAUUCAAAGGGAAAACAGUGUUCACCGUCUAGUUUGUGGGCGUGGUGUUGGUGGGAGUUGCGGCUGGGUUGAGGGGGUAGAGGAGGGCACAA